GGACUACUAGGGUUUCUAAUCCUGUUUGCUACCCAUACUUUCGAGCCUCAGCGUCAGUUACAGACCAGACAGCCGCCUUCGCCACUGGUGUUCUUCCAUAUAUCUACGCAUUUCACCGCUACACAUGGAGUUCCACUGUCCUCUUCUGCACUCAAGUUUCCCAGUUUCCGAUGCACUUCUUCGGUUGAGCCGAAGGCUUUCACAUCAGACUUAAAAAACCGCCUGCGCUCGCUUUACGCCCAAUAAAUCCGGACAACGCUUGCCACCUACGUAUUACCGCGGCUGCUGGCACC
rnacentral:misc_RNA from 1 species